UUUUUUUCUUUUUUUUUUUUUUUUUUUUCAUCCAGCAUUUGUUUAACAUGGCCUCCCCUUGUUUCUAUUGGAGUUAUCAAGACCAAAUAUGGACCAUCGGUAGACCUCAUCAUGAAGUAUUACCAGAUGAGGCUGUGUAGGAUUUCAUCAUCCCCUUUAGAAGUUAUCUCCCUUUUAUUGUUUUUUUCGACAUGGCCCCCCUCGUUGUUUUUGAAGAUAUCAUGACCUUAUUUGGACAAUAGUUAGAUCUCAUCAUGAUGUGUUACCAUAUGAGGCUGCUAAGGAUUUCAUCAUUCCCUAUGAGAGUUAUGUCCCCUUGAAGCAAUUUCUUUCUUUUACAUUUUUCUCAAAAAGUAUUCAAGAUAGAAUCGAUUUGAAAACGGCAACAUGUACAAGACCAGAUGGCAAUGUUAAUUAACAUAUACAAUCAUUUUGUUGUUAAACCCUUAUAAGGAGUUAUUUCCCUUGAAAAAUAUAACACAAUUUUUGAAAAAUUGUAUCUCGAGAACCGGAAGUCGUAAAGACUUGGGACCUACACCAAUAAUCUUAAGUUCAUGUGACCUUUAAUUUGCACCCAAGGUCAAAGGUCACCGAGUGCAAAAAAAAAAAUUACGCUGCAAUUUCAAGCUUUCAUAUUAAGAAAACGAUAAGAGUUUGCUGCAUACUUACAGCGUAUAAAAUGUUCCUCUCGACGAGCUCUACAUUUUUAUACACUGAGCUCAAAAGAGUCCGACUGUCUGUUCAAAAGUUACGACGGGAUGAUUCUUAAAAGUAUAGUAUUGUGUGUAUAUCUUUUUAAAGGUAACAGAUAUCAACCUACUAUAAACUGCAAAGAUGAUCAGUAGUUCAAGACCUUCAAUUUGAGGUCAAUGUCAGGUCAUGAUGAAAUUUCACCUUGACCUUCACAUUAUACUAUGACCUUGACCUUGUGAUAUUUGAAAGGUCAAGUGGUCCUGAGUUGAAUGGUGAUAGUCCCAUGUCUCUACGACUUCCGGUUCUCAAGUUUUGUAUUGCAUCAUAUAUUUGAUGAUUAAUUGUGACCUUGGUGAACUUUGAAAUUGUCCCAAUUCUUUUUC
rnacentral:lncRNA from 1 species